AGUUAUUAUCGGAUUACAGCAUACCAAUUUUCGAAUUUUCGGAACGGAGCUACGAACUCGUAGCUACGAACAUUCGGAUCACAGCAUAGGGAUGUAUAAGUAAUUUGUAGUUA